rnacentral:lncRNA from 1 species
UAAUUAAUACUAGUAUCAAACAUAAAAUGACCAGAAAAUUCUAAGCAAACCACGUGGAAAAACAACCGAUGAAUAUUAAGACAUAUAUACCUCUUAGAUUUUCCUUUUGCCAAAUGUCUCCCUUAGGCUCUUACCUUCCACUGUCUGACCUUGCAGUUGCAACCCUUUCUAAGUCGUCUCUUGCUUCAAAUCAUGUUUUGUCGUCCAUGUUUGUUUUCACUUUCAUAUGCUUCAUACUUUCCAUUAAGUUAUUACCAAUAAGUUCAAAGUUUCAAAUUUGGUCAUUAUUACUGGGCAUAAGUUUCUUUGAGGAUUAUUUGGAG